UACGGGGGAGCAAGCGUUGUUCGGAUUUACUGGGCGUAAAGGGCGCGUAGGCGGCCACCGCAAGUCGACUGUGAAAUCUCCGGGCUUAACCCGGAAAGGUCAGCCGAUACUGCGGGCUAGAGUGCAGAAGGGGCAACUGGAAUUCUCGGUGUAGCGGUGAAAUGCGUAGAUAUCGAGAGGAACACCUGCGGCGAAGGCGGGUUGCUGGGCUGACACUGACGCUGAUGUGCGAAAGCUAGGGGAGCGAACGGG
rnacentral:rRNA from 1 species